rnacentral:rRNA from 1 species
GCAAGUCGAACGAUGACGACAGGGCUUGCCUUGUCUGAUUAGUGGCGAACGGGUGAGUAACACGUGAGUAACCUGCCCCCCUCUUCGGGAUAACCUCGGGAAAUCGGGGCUAAUACCGGAUAUGACUUCGCACCGCAUGGUGUGUUGUGGAAAGUUUUUCGGUGGGGGAUGGACUCGCGGCCUAUCAGUUUGUUGGUGAGGUAAUGGCUCACCAAGGCGAUGACGGGUAGCCGGCCUGAGAGGGCGACCGGCCACACUGGGACUGAGACACGGCCCAGACUCCUACGGGAGGCAGCAGUGGGGAAUAUUGCACAAUGGGCGAAAGCCUGAUGCAGCGACGCCGCGUGGGGGAUGACGGCCUUCGGGUUGUAAACCUC